UACGUAGGGUGCGAGCGUUGUCCGGAAUUACUGGGCGUAAAGAGCUCGUAGGUGGUUUGUCACGUCGUCUGUGAAAUUCCGGGGCUUAACCUCGGGCGUGCAGGCGAUACGGGCAAUACUUGAGUGCUGUAGGGGAGACUGGAAUUCCUGGUGUAGCGGUGGAAUGCGCAGAUAUCAGGAGGAACACCGAUGGCGAAGGCAGGUCUCUGGGCCACUACUGACGCUGAGAAGCGAAAGCAUGGGGAGCGAACAGGAUUAGA
rnacentral:rRNA from 1 species